AUUGAACGCUGGCGGCAGGCCUAGCACGUGCAAGUCGAACGGUAGCACAGAGAGCUUGCUCUCGGGUGACGAGUGGCGGACGGGUGAGUAAUGUCUGGGAAACUGCCCGAUGGAGGGGGAUAACUACUGGAAACGGUAGCUAAUACCGCAUAACGUCGCAAGACCAAAGUGGGGGACCUUCGGGCACCACACCAUCGGAUGUGCCCCGGUGGGAUUAGCUAGUAGGUGGGGUAAUGGCUCACCUAGGCGACGAUCCCUAGCUGGUCUGAGAGGAUGACCAGCCACACUGGAACUGAGACACGGUCCAGACUCCUACGGGAGGCAGCAGUGGGGAAUAUUGCACAAUGGGCGCAAGCCUGAUGCAGCCAUGCCGCGUGUAUGAAGAAGGCCUUCGGGUUGUAAAGUACUUUCAGCGGGGAGGAAGGCGGUGAAGUUAAUAACUUCACCGAUUGACGUUACCCGCAGAAGAAGCACCGGCUAACUCCGUGCCAGCAGCCGCCGUAA
rnacentral:rRNA from 1 species